CUAUAGCAAAGUAUUGAACACCUAUUUUUAAAGAGGCUGCUCUCCCAAUCUUUAUAUUUGCUAGCAAUUUUUCUAGUGCAAUAUAAAGAUAUAAUUUUAUACGUAGUGUGUGCCAUUAUAGAUACACUUGAACACAGUCAUACUAGGUCUCUGUGCCCAGUGGUUUAAGUUAGAAACACCAAACACAAGCUGUAAGUUGAAUUAUCAGGAUUUCUUCAGAAAUGUUCUCUGACUAAUGUUGAUAAUCCUGCUUGUAGUUCUUGUUUGG